rnacentral:rRNA from 1 species
GACGAACGCUGGCGGCGUGCUUGACACAUGCAAGUCGAACGGAAAGGCCUGCUUUCCCUUGUGGAUUGCGGGUACUCGAGUGGCGAACGGGUGAGUAACACGUGAGUGAUCUGCCCCCAACUUGGGUAUAAGCCUGGGAAACUGGGUCUAAUUCCCGAUAGGACUGCAGGGUGGUGCCUGUGGUGGAAAACGAUUUUCUAGUGGUUGGGGAUGAGCUCGCGGCCUAUCAGCUUGUUGGUGGGGUAAUGGCCUACCAAGGCGGCGACGGGUAGCCGGCCUGAGAGGGUGGACGGCCACAUUGGGACUGAGAUACGGCCCAGACUCCUACGGGAGGCAGCAGUGGGGAAUAUUGCACAAUGGGCGGAAGCCUGAUGCAGCGACGCCGCGUGGGGGAUGACGGCCUUCGGGUUGUAAACUCCUUUCGACCGCGAGGAAGCCACCUGGUUGGAAGGGUGGUGACGGUAGUGGUAGAAGAAGCGCCGGCUAACUACGUG